rnacentral:rRNA from 1 species
UACAGAGGGUGCAAGCGUUAAUCGGAAUUACUGGGCGUAAAGCGCGCGUAGGCGGUCCAUCAAGUCAGAGGUGAAAGCCCGGGGCUCAACCUCGGAACUGCCCUUGAAACUGGAAGGCUAGAAUCCUGGAGAGGCGAGUGGAAUUCCGAGUGUAGAGGUGAAAUUCGUAGAUAUUCGGAAGAACACCAGUGGCGAAGGCGACUCGCUGGACAGGUAUUGACGCUGAGGUGCGAAAGCGUGGGGAGCAAACAGGAUUAGAAACCCCAGUAGU